rnacentral:tRNA from 1 species
GGGGAUGUGGCUCAGUUGGUAGAGUGCUUGCCUCACAUGCAUAAGGCCCUGGGUUCAAUCCCCAACACCA